UACGGAGGGGGCUAGCGUUGUUCGGAAUUACUGGGCGUAAAGCGCACGUAGGCGGACCGGAAAGUCAGAGGUGAAAUCCCAGGGCUCAACCUUGGAACGGCCUUUGAAACUCCUGGUCUUGAGUUCGAGAGAGGUGAGUGGAAUUCCGAGUGUAGAGGUGAAAUUCGUAGAUAUUCGGAAGAACACCAGUGGCGAAGGCGACUUACUGGACACAUAUUGACGCUGAGGUGCGAAAGCGUGGGGAGCAAACAGG
rnacentral:rRNA from 1 species